AGACCGAGUGCUUUUCUCUGGCUCGAAGGUCUCGUGCUGUGCUUCAGCCCUCCUGUAGUACUGUAAAGUCUGCAGCUGUCAUGGGAGAUUCUCCACACAGUGCUGGAGAUGUGGAAGCCUGUUCGCCAGUGUCUUCCUAGCACAAUGGUUUUGUGAUCAUCUGUAAGAGCCUGGCUAUGUUUCACUGUGGAUGAGACUGCUGACAAUGUUUUCUAGCUACCCUGUAAUAUUAAUCUAAUUUGAAAAGUUCUGAUAUAAAAGAAAAAUGUUCUGUAACUGAAGCAAUGAGUAAAAGAAACGUGUACAAAGGUAACAGGUCAGCUGUUGAACCUUCUGAAGGGCAUCUCAAAAUGCUUGCAUUUAGCACUCCAAACAAAGGGCUGUUGUUCAGCAUCAGUAUAGGGAAGGAGAGAAAUACAUGCUGGGUCUGGUUGCCAUGGGAUUUGAGGCAUCCUGAGAACUGGGUAUUUCCCAGAAGUCUGGCAGAGGAUUUCAGAGAAACGUCGCUUCUCGUGUAAUGCUCUGUGGGCAGAUCACACAGAAUCACAGAAUCUUAAGGGUUGGGAGGCACCUCAAGAGAUCAUAUAGGCCAACCCCCUGGCAGAGCAGGACAUAGCAUCUCUGUUGAACUCAACAUUACCCAAAUUGCUGAAAUGUUGAUUUCGUUUCACGAAAACUAAGCUAAGCACGUGUUCCUGCAUCUUUCUUCUGCCUUCUUGACAAACCACCAGCAUUGCUUCAUGCAACAUACCUUGACUUCUGUAGUACUUAAUCAUAGACUUCUUCACUGAAUAAGGAUUGAAUGUGGACUUUGAGCAGGCUAAUUUCUCACUUCAAUAAAGUUUUUAGUGUUUUGACAGUUGUCUCUGCCUUUUACCUGUGAGCAAAUGGGAAUUGGCACAAGCUGAUGCUUAUAUCUAAAGAGGCAAGAUUCCUGUGUCAGGAAUCACUCUGCAGCCACUGUGUGGACAUGUGUUGUAAGAAUAGUUCAGACCCUCCGUGCCCUUGGUCAUUUCCCACCCAGUGGUCCCCAGUUCCUCUACAGACACAGGACUAGAAGUGUGCCAGUCACAUGGUGGCGAUGCACAGGUCUACUGGAGGACACCAUCUGCAUUUUGGCUGAGUGGCAUAAUGUUCCAUGUGCUUGAUGCCAUAUAGUACCAUCUAUUCAUAUAGAAGAGGGUUUGUUACUGCAGAGUUUGGAGGCUACUGGACCAGAAAAUGAAUCCUGCUGUCAAAUGCUUAUGAACAAAUUCCAGCUGUCCAAUUCCUACUGAAGCAAGAGCUAGAUGAAAUCUGUAUCACUCCACAGCAGUGCUUGGCUUCUUGUGUUACACCACACUAUGAUUUCAGGUUAAAUUUGGAAUGUCGGAAAAUGA